ensembl:lncRNA
UUUAGAAAUUUUGUUAAUUAUAUGUCACAAAUAUUUUCAGUAUUUUUUAGGUGAAAUUAAUUACUUCUUAUUAAUAUUAAUGCAAUAUUUAAGUUUAAAAAAACCAUUUUCAAAGAUGUAUAUUAUUUUUAAUUUUUUUUUUUAUCUCUUUGAUAAUGCAUCAACUGUUUAUCAUCUAUAUAAAUAUUUUUAUUAUGAUUGUAACUAUAAUAGACUUAUUUCAUCGUAUGAUAAAGAGCAAUCGUUAGGAAGAGGGGGGACUACCGAUACAAACGGCUUAUGUACAACGGCACAAGAAAAAAAUAACCAGAAAGAAGAAAGUGAUAAGAAAGAAGAAAGUGAUAAGAAAGAAGAAAGUGAUAAGAAAGAAGAAAACGAUAAGAAAGAAGAAAACGAUAAGAAAGAAGAAAACGAUAAGAAAGAAGAAAACGAUAAGAAAGAAGAAAACGAUAAGAAAGAAGAAAGCGAUAAGAAAGAAGAAAGCGAUAAGAAAGAAGAAAGCGAUAAGAAUGCAAAAAGCACUACGCAAAAUGACCAACAUGUAGCAGUAAAUAAAAAAGAACGUAAAAAAAAAUAUAAUAAAAUAUCAGACCAUGUAUUAAACAAAGCGCAUGAAAAAAAAAAAAGUAUCAAUACAAAUAAACAAAAAUUGUUAAAAAGUGAAGAAACUAAUCAAGACAUAAAAAAAGAUUUCGUUAUCAAGGAAUAUGAUCAAAAUGAAAAAAACGAACAUAUACGCGACCAUAUUAAUAAAAAAAAAAAACAUAUAUUAGAUAACGAAAAAGAAUUAAACAAUUUAAAAAAAAAUUUGGGUGAAGAUGAAAAAAUGAAAUCCAAUUUAAAACAAAAUAAUAAAAAAGUACCAAAUAAGGAAAAAACAAAUCGUACUAACGAAAACGGUGUGACCACGACUUGUGCGAAUCAUCUAAAAGAACAAUUGCUUACUGACAAUAAUAAUUAUUUUUUUAUAAAUAUUGUUGAAUAUAUAAGUAAAAUAUUACAUGAACUAUUAUUUUUGCAUACAAUCGAUUUAACAAAAAUGUUUUUUCAUUUAAAAAUAUUUAAAUAUGAUCGAUUAUAUACAAACGAAAAAAAAAGUUGUGACAACCAUAUUGCUAAGAUAAAGUAUAAACUAAAUAUAGAUAAUAGUAGUAGUACUAAUACCAGCUCACAGGAACAAGUAAAUGACGUAGUGGACAAAGAAAUCGAGCAUAAACAAGUGGGAUAUAGAAAAACGGACAGUUAUAAUAUCCAUACGGACAACAGCUAUCCCCAAAAGAACAGCACUAGCGAAAUAUCAUUUACCAACUUUUUAAGUUAUCCACUAAUUUUACCAAACAACUCUGUUAACCCAGAAGAAGAUUUUUAUUUAUAUAAGUAUACUACAGAAAAAAAGGUAAGUCAAUUUUUAUUUGAAAAUUUAUGUUAUAAGGAUGCAGAUGAAAUACAGUUACUUGCUUCUACAGUUGAUACAAUUUUAUCUUUAAUAAAUACUUAUUAUGUUAUAUUUUUAAACAUAUUAAAAAAUUCAUGUAAUCAGUAUUGCUUUGCAACUAUUGAUCUUGAUGAUGACCGAAAUUUAAAAUGUAUGCAAUUAGAAAAAUAUAGUGGCAGCACGAGUACGAUAACAAAACAAGAACUUGAAAAACAAGAACUUGAAAAACAACAUGAACAUGAUCAAGUACCAAGAAAAAAUGUUAUACAUAACGCCGUUAAUAAUAAACAUGAUUCAAUUUUUGAAUGUGAGCUCAAUAACCGAAUUAAGAAUUAUAAUGAUAACAACAGUAUUAAUGAAGUAGCUGGUAAAAGUGAAACAAAAGUUGAUAGUAGUAUUGGGAGUAGAGACAGUUAUGAUAGUUCGAAUGAGAACAUGAAUACGCAUGGAAACUAUAAUGGUAUAUGUGCUAAUGGUUAUAAUAAUUGCGAAUUCACAAAGAACUGUAAUGAUAAAAACAUGCGUUUAUUUUUUUCUGUUUUUAAUUCAACUUGUAGAUAUUUUAUAUCAUCAUUAUCUUUAAUAUUUUCAUAUGCAAACACAUUGGACACUUGUUUUUUUAACGCUUGUCAGAAAUUAAUAUUUAUGAGUACCUAUUUAAAAAUUAAUAUUUGCACUAGUGCUUGUUUACAGACGUUAACAAAAUGCAGUAGUAUAUUUACCUUAGAGACUUCUCCAUUUUUUUUUAAUAUACUAAAAAAUUUUGAAAAAAAAAAAAAAAAAAAUGAUAACACUAAUGCAAUUAUUUUCAAAAAAAAUUCAAAUGGGAAAAAAAAUGAUUUAUCAAAAAAUAGUUUAAAUAGUUAUAAUAGUAAAAAUAGUGUUAUUUUAAAAAAAAAUUAUACAUAUAAUACGCAAAAUGACGAUUAUGAUGAUGAUGAUGAUGAUAAUGAUGAUAACUAUGAAAAUAAAACUAAUGUGCAUAGUCUUAAUAAUGAUUAUAUAAACAUACACACAAGUAUUAAAGAUCGCCAACAAAAAAUAGAUAUGAACAAAACACAAAUAUGUGCUGCUCAUGACAUGGGAAACGAAUUGAAUGAUGAACAUGCCAAUUUAGAUAAUGGAAAAAGGGACUUGGGAUAUGCUAACAAUACUCAUGAAAAUAAAGACAGAACACAGGUUAAUACGAAUAACGAUUAUUAUGAUCAUGACAAACAGGACAAAGACCAUAACAACGACUCAAAUAAUAUUCAGAAAUAUAUUAAUAAUAGCACUAAAACUGGAAAUAGCGAUAGUACUACUCAUAUUAAUGGCAGCGAUAAUAUUUGCUGUAAUAACACCACUUGUAACAAAUCGUUUGCAAUAAAAGAAUUGUUUAACAAAAGCACAAGCAUAGAAAGCACAGACUUAAAUUUUGUUUUAAAUAAAUCUACGUUGAAUGAAGAUUUGCUUACUUAUUUUGAUAAUGUGAUUAACAUAAUUUUCAAAAAAUCAUAUUAUAUUAAUAGUAAUAUAAAUAAUAUAAAAUAUAUUUUAUCUGUAAAAACAGUUAUAAGUAUAUUUUAUAUAUAUGGUGAUUAUUUAUAUUUUACUUAUUGGUUAAAAUUAAUAAAUUUAUUUGUUGAAAUAAAUUAUAUAUAUAAAUAUAUAUCUUCUAUAGAAAAUAAGACUAUCGAAUUUUUAAGUUUUUUAAAUCAUAUAAAUAAAAAUAGUGAUAAUUUUAAUUUUUCAUUAAAUAAUAACAGUAAAGUACAAUCAGAUGAAAAUGGGUAUAUAGAACAUGUAAAUUCAAAGAGUGCUGAAUUUUGUUAUUUUAUAUUACGCUUUAUACAAAAAAAUCCUGUUUUAUGUGCAGAAAUUACAAUGAUUUUUACUUCUUUGUCACAUUUUUUUAAAAGGACUAUUUUUUAUAAAACUCCGACAAUAAUUAAUAUAUUAAACUCUAUUCAUUUUAUGAUAUUUAAUCAAUUUUUUAAGCAAAAAAAAAAAAAAGAACAUGCACAUGGACAUGGACAUAAUCAUGUACACAGUAGGUAUAAUAAACCAUGGUAUAAUAGUGAUUAUAGUACUAGAGAAAAAAUAUAUUCAGAUCGUGUUUACACCAAUGGAAGUGGUAAUAAAAAUAACGACUUCAGUAAAAGAAAAGUAAAAAGGAAACAAUCAUUUAUAUCUUAUAUAAUAAUGAGACAUAGCCAAAAAAAACAUGGAUAUUUUGACGAUGCAUGGAAAAAAAAAGAGAGUAAUAAUGAGAGAGGUUAUGUGGAUACAAACACAAACACAAACACAAACACAAACGCAAACACAAACACAAACAUGAACAUGAACAUGAACACAUCCACUAGUAGCGACAAUACUGGUAAUACAGAAAGUCGACCUAGUACAAUGGAAAGAAAACCUUCUUGCCAUAUAUGUCAUUUUAAAGCGAGUAUAAAAUCAGACUCUGAAAAGUUGUACAAUUCUGUACGUAAUGGAAAAAGCAAAAAAGAAAAUGAAUAUUCACCAAAUGAAAAAGGAAAAGUAAAUAUGACCAUUGUAAAUUCGGAAAGUAAUAAUUUCCAUCAGUUAAUUAGUAACUCACAAAAAUUUGGUACUACUUCCUACACCUCCAAUUUAAAUAAAAAAAAAACCAUACUUGAACAGUAUUUAUAUUUUAUAAAAAAAAAUGAUGACAUUUUUCAAAUCUUUUUUUAUUACUUAUCACACUUUGAUUCGGUAUACAUUUCGUAUUUUAUUUUUUAUUGUGAGAAAUAUUUUGCAAGGUGGGGUAAUUUACUAAUAAACGUAUUUAGUAAUAUACAUGGUGAUGUAUUUUUCAGUCCUUGUACAAGCCGACAAAAUGUUCCGCCUACAGACAAAUCACAAUCUGAACACAUCUGUAGUCAUAACAAAAACUCAAACGCUCUGAAAGAACAUAGUUAUAUUGUGCUAAAAAAAUUGGAGAAGUGCUAUAUUUUUGAAGAUUUUUAUCCACUAUAUAUGAUAGAAAUGAUAUGCGUGAUUAACAUUAAUAGAAUAAAACAUAUAUACAAUAAUUGUUGUAUUGACCUUUUAUUAUUAUCAUUAUGUAAAAAUGUUGAUAUACAACAAAAAAGCAUUAACACAUUAUUUAAUAUAAUAAAAGAAUCAGUUAUUUAUUAUAAAUAUAAUUUUGAAAUUCAGUUUUAUUUGUUUAAACCAUUUUUUUUUUUUAUUUUAAAUCCAUAUGUAUGUUAUCGCUUUAAUUUUCUAAAUGCUCUUUUAAAUUUUAUGCGAAAAAAUGCAUCUUUUUUAAAUAAAACUAUAUGGCUUUUCAUUAUUUUCCUUUUAUUUGUGGCACUUAAAAAAGAAUUAAAAAAUAAAAGUUUAAAACAAAAUCAUACAAAUAUAAAAAAACAAAAUAUAGAGGAACAAAAUGUAACAAACAUAAACAUCAUUUUUAAUAUAUUAGAAAUUGUUAUUGUUGAUUAUAUUGAAGAAUUACCAAUUUGUAAAAUAAUGGAAGUUAUCAUACAUAUGCUUAUUAUUUUUUCUUCUUUGAGUAGCUUAAGCAAUAACAUGUCUUUUAGGGCUAUCAACUUUUCUUGGUCGAUUGUUGAUUAUAUAUUGAAUCGCUCGGAGUUGUUAAAAAGUCGUGCUACUACUGCUACUACUGCUACUACUGCUACUACUGCUACUACUGCUACUAUUGCUACUACUGCUACUACUGCUACUACUGCUACUACUGCUACUGCUACUACUACUACUGCUACUGCUACUACUACCACGGCCCCUACAGAAAACGCAUCAAAUAAAAAGACAAACCCGAUAUUAUACAUAUUCAACAUAAAGCACAAUUAUUUAUAUAUACACCAAAACGGAAUAAAAAUGAAAAAUAUAAAACUAAAAAGUUUUUUUAUUUUUAUUUUAAAUAACUUAGUGAAGUUAUGUUUUGAUGAAAGAAUAGAAGUCAGAAAUUGUAGUAUCAAAACCAUUAUGAGUAUUUUAUCAACCCAUAUGUGUAAGUUCGAUUUUUUUUUUUAUAAGACAUCAAUAUGUUUGUUAUUUAGUAGACUUACGAUAAAAUUUUAUUGCAAAUUACAACAGUAUUUUAAAUUGGAUAAGCAAAAAUAUAAAGACGCUCAGAAGCAGGAUCAAAUAAAGGACGCUGAACUGGAGAAGCAAAUAGAAAACACAUAUGACUAUAAUAAUAAAAAAAUCAGUUAUAACGAAAGUGCUCUUAAUAUUAAGGACAAACAACAAAGUCACGAGUGUCAUUAUAAUGUAGUAGCGCAUGAUAAACAUGUUGAACAACAAGACGUUUCGUGUAUUGACAAACGUGAUAGUUACAAUAAAUAUACACACGUUACAACUUUGAAAACAAAUGAGAUCCAUGAUAUUAUACAAAAGCAUAAUACUUUUGAUACAUAUUGGGUUGCGGAAAAAAACGUGAGUUCACUUGAGCGAAUUGAAGAUAGUGACCAGUACGAAAAAACAGAAAAGAUAAACUUGGUUUUUGCAAAUUAUAACAGUGACCUAAUUUUUUCAAGCGAUAAAAAUGGCAUACACGAAAAAAAUGGAAUACACGAAAAAAAUGGCAUACACGAAAAAAAUGGCAUACACGACAAAAAUGGCAUACACGACAAAAAUGGCAUACACGACAAAAAUGGCAUACACGAAAAAAAUGGCAUACACGAAAAAAAUGGCAUNNNNNNNNNNAAUGGCAUACACGAAAAAAAUGGCAUACACGAAAAAAAUGGCAUACAAAAUCAAAACGAUGACUUUAAAAAGAAGCUAUGUGAGCAGUACCGAGAAAGUUUUAUAAAGCUAAACGAAGAUCAUGAAAAAUACAUAUUGAAAAAAAGAAAAAAAAAAAAAGAAAAAAAAAAAAAACAUAACAUUUUAAAUAUACUUGACAAAAUGAUAUAUUUUCCUAAUAUAGUUAGUAAGAGUUCUUCAAUAAAAAAUGUGAACGGUGGUAUAUAUGAUUAUGUGAAUGAAAAUUUAAAUACUAUUAUUAUUCACCACUCAAGAGAUAGUAAAUUAAAACAGUAUAUAGAAAGUUUUAUUUUAAUAAUAGAAGGAUGUAAUCGUACAUUAUUAGAACAAAAUAAUUAUAAAAAGUGUUACAUUUUUUAUGAUACAUUUAUUAAUAUAUUAAAAAACAUAUUAUUUAUGGAAUAUAAUAAAAAAGAUAUGUUUGAAUUACAUAUAUCAAUUUUACAAAUAUUUAAUAGUAUAUUUAUAUCAAAAAUUAUUUUUUUUGAUAAGUCUUACUUUUCUAUGAAAAAUGCAAUUAUUAAUAAAAAUAGAUACAGAAAUUAUGUAAAUAUAUUUGAUCAGUGCUUUUUUUAUAUAUAUAAUUAUAUCCUAAAUACUGAUGAUUACAAAAUGAAGGAUUGUAUACUUAAACUUCUUACAGAAAAUAUAAAAAGUAUAAAAAGUACAAAAUGGAUAUAUGUACAUUCACUCAUGUAUUUACAUUUGUUUAGCUUAUUAUUUGAUUUUAAUACAGAUAAUAUUAUGAUGAACAAAGGAGGAGAAAAAACAUACUCUUUUUUUAAUUACAACUCUGUUUUAAAUAUGUUGUAUUUUGAUUACUUCAUUGGUGGUGCGAAUAUCGAAGAGGAGUUCGAUAGACCGAAUGAUGUUUGUUUAGGCGAGUGUCCUAUGAAUGCAAAAACUAGUAGCUAUCGUGGUAGUUAUGACAACAGAAAUAGCGACAGGAAUAAUGAUAGCAACAGAAAUAGUGAUAGCGAUAGCGAUAGGAAUAGUGAUAGCGAUAGCGAUAGGAAUAGUGGUAGCGAUAGGAAUAGUGAUAGUGAUAGGAAUAGUGAUAGAGAUAAUAAUGGAGGCAAAGAAAAGUGCCCUAACGAAGUAACUACUAACUGUAAUAAAAAUAAAAAAAAUGCUGAUAUGUGUAGUACCAAUAACAAAACAAAGUUUUCAUUUUUAAAUAAACAUCUUAGUUUUGAGUACAAAACAAAUAACACUUUUGAUGACCCAUUAAACGUUUAUAAUAUAUUAGAAAAUAAUGUAAAAAUAUACGAUGGAACCAAUUUAAUGCUAUGUCAAGAUUUAAAAAGAAAUAUGUAUCAAACUUAUUUACAUAGCGAUAGUCAUAAGCAAAGUAGGGACAACAUAAAAAGUAGAAACAGUAAAAAGAAAAGUAGAAACAGUAAAAAGAAAAGUAGAAACAGUAAAAAGAAAAGUAAAGACAGUAACAAGCAACGUAGCGACAGUAAAAAGCAACGUAGCGACAGUAAAAAGCAACGUAGCGACAGUAACAAACAAAGUAGCGACAGUAACAAACAAAGUAGAGAUAUCUUUGUUAUACUUAUGCACAUAUUCGAAACGUUAGAAUAUGAUGAAAUGAAUUUACUAAUUCAUGGUGAACUUAUAAAAUCAUUACAAUUUUUAUUAUAUAAUUUGUCUGAAAAUAAGGAUAAAAGAAUUAUAUAUAAUAAAUUAAUAAAUUUUAUUUUUGAUGAUAAAAUAUUAUUUAAUGAAAACUCGGAAGAUAUAAUUAAUAAAAUCAGUUUAAACGAUACGUACACGAAGCUAGAAAUAAGUACAAGCGGGUCAAACAAGCCAAGAGAAAAAAACAAGCUACAAAAAACAAAUGACAACAUAAGUGACAACAUAAAUGACAACAUAAGUGACAACACAUGCGACAACAUAUGCGACAGCACAGGUGAAACACGUGAUGAAAACCAAGAAUGCAAUAGGCUAUUUAUUUUAAACUAUAAAAAACUUUACCCAUUAAACAACUAUAUUGAAUGUUUUCAAAUGCUAUCAUUAGGUUUAUUUGAUUAUUUUAUACCAUGUUAUAUAUUUUAUAUUUUUAAAAA